rnacentral:tRNA from 1 species
GGCUUUGCAGCUCAGCUGGUAGAGCACUCGCGGUACUGGAGCGAGGGUAGUGACUGUGCGUGGGUUCGAAUCCUGCCGGGGCCA